CCCCUGUGAACAUACCACUUGUUGCCUCGGCGGAUCAGCCCGCUCCCGGUAAAACGGGACGGCCCGCCAGAGGACCCCUAAACUCUGUUUCUAUAUGUAACUUCUGAGUAAAACCAUAAAUAAAUCAAAACUUUCAACAACGGAUCUCUUGGUUCUGGCAUCGAUGAAGAACGCAGCAAAAUGCGAUAAGUAAUGUGAAUUGCAGAAUUCAGUGAAUCAUCGAAUCUUUGAACGCACAUUGCGCCCGCCAGUAUUCUGGCGGGCAUGCCUGUUCGAGCGUCAUUUCAACCCUCAAGCACAGCUUGGUGUUGGGACUCGCGUUAAUUCGCGUUCCCCAAAUUGAUUGGCGGUCACGUCGAGCUUCCAUAGCGUAGUAGUAAAACCCUCGUUACUGGUAAUCGUCGCGGCCACGCCGUUAAACCCCAACUUCUGAAUGUUGACCUCGGAUCAGGUAGGAAUACCCGCUGAACUUAAGCA
rnacentral:rRNA from 1 species